AUGUCGGAUCUGCGGCACGGAGAGCCGCUGGCGAAGCAAAGGAACAUCGACCCCAUCGCCCGGACUGACCAUCCGUGGGAUCUCCCUGCAACAGUCCCCCUCCCCCACCGAUGCGACUGCCCAGAGGACAGCGUUUUGGUGAUUCCCCGGGAGGCAAACCUCCCGAUUGACAGAGAAGCAAAGAAGGUCGUGGCACGGGUGUCACAAGCAGUAGUCGGCGUCGCCAGCAUUACCGUUUAUGGCGAUCAGCUGUGGAGAGCUUCAGGCUUUAUUGUCGAAUUUGAUGAAUCCAGCAUGAUUGGGACAAUAUUUUCAUGUGCAACUGUAUCUGAACACAUUCCGAUGUUCCCUAAAAUUGACAAGAUAAGAGUAUAUCUAUUUGAUGGUACCUCUUAUGACGCCACCAUAGAAGCUUGCGACAAUCACUGGAAUUUGUUAGUAUUGUCUGUUUCAUUUGGUCGUGCUGUCAAAACCAUGAACAUGGUGGAAAUUAGCGAGAACAGAAAUGCGAUGGAUGUUCAUCUUCAAGGAUUUGUGCUACAGCCUCACUCAGCUUCUGAAAGGCUUUGUCCUGGCGAUACCAUUAUCGGACUUGGUCGACAGUCUACAGAGCCUUUUGGGCUUCAAGCGAAUUGUGGAGUUUACAGCUACGAGCGUUGGGCAGAUCUCCCUAGGUUUUGCCAUGAAAUGCAGAAAGCAACAUUUAUAAACACAUAUGCGUCAAUUGGAGGUCCAGCAAUAAACAAAAAUGGCAGAGUCAUUGGAAUGCUUUUCCAUGAUCUAGACUGUACUCCUUUCAUGCCAUCCAACAUCAUUUUAAAAUGGUGGGAUCAUUUCAAAAAAACUAGGAUGUAUUGUCGUCCAACUAUGAGAGUUUUUGGUGUUAAUCUACAUAAUGCUCAGUCUUCACCUUGGGUAAAAGUUCCCACAUCUUUAUAUGAAAGCUAUGAUGAUGGCUUUCUUGUGGAGCGGGUACCUCGAUCUGUGAAAUCAGCGGGAUUACAGCAAAAAGAUCUUAUUAUUACAUGCAAUGGGAAACCUGUGGCUACGAGUUUACAGUUGUUCGAAAUCUUAGCGGAGAAUAUUGGAAAAAUGGUGGGGGUUACUUUUAUUAAGGCUGAGGACAACAGUAAGCAUUCAAUAUAUCUUCCUGUGGAGGAGACUCUGGAGAAAAACUUCUACAGCUGGCCAAUUGCACAGUACAGCAAUCUUUGCUAA
rnacentral:rRNA from 1 species